UAUCACAGUUUACUUGCUGUCGC
rnacentral:miRNA from 4 species